UAGGGAAUCUUCCACAAUGGACGCAAGUCUGAUGGAGCAACGCCGCGUGAGUGAAGAAGGUUUUCGGAUCGUAAAGCUCUGUUGUUGGUGAAGAAGGAUAGAGGCAGUAACUGGUCUCUAUUUGACGGUAAACAACCAGAAAGUCACGGCUAACUACGUGCCAGCAGCCGCGGUAAUACGUAGGUGGCAAGCGUUGUCCGGAUUUAUUGGGCGUAAAGCGAGCGCAGGCGGAAUGAUAAGUCUGAUGUGAAAGCCCACGGCUCAACCGUGGAACUGCAUCGGAAACUGUCAUUCUUGAGUGCAGAAGAGGAGAGGGGAAUUCCAUGUGUAGCGGUGGAAUGCGUAGAUAUAUGGAAGAGCACCAGUGUCGAGGGCGGCUCUCUGGUCUGCAACUGACGCUGAGGCUCGAAAGCAUGGGUAGCGAGCAGG
rnacentral:rRNA from 1 species